rnacentral:rRNA from 1 species
AGUGAACGCUGGCGGUAGGCCUAACACAUGCAAGUCGAACGGCAGCACAGUAAGAGCUUGCUCUUACGGGUGGCGAGUGGCGGACGGGUGAGGAAUACAUCGGAAUCUACUUUUUCGUGGGGGAUAACGUAGGGAAACUUACGCUAAUACCGCAUACGACCUACGGGUGAAAGCAGGGGAUCUUCGGACCUUGCGCGAUUGAAUGAGCCGAUGUCGGAUUAGCUAGUUGGCGGGGUAAAGGCCCACCAGGGCGAGGAUCCGUAGCUGGUCUGAGAGGAUGAUCAGCCACACUGGAACUGAGACACGGUCCAGACUCCUACGGGAGGCAGCAGUGGGGAAUAUUGGACAAUGGGCGCAAGCCUGAUCCAGCCAUACCGCGUGGGUGAAGAAGGCCUUCGGGUUGUAAAGCCCUUUUGUUGGGAAAGAAAAGCAGCAGGUUAAUACCCCGCUGUUCUGACGGUACCCAAAGAAUAAGCACCGGCUAACUUCGUG